GCCUUCGCGGUGUAAUUGUCAGCAUGGAUGCCUUCGAAGCAUUCGACGCGGGUUCGAUUCCCUCCGAACGCA
rfam:Nippostrongylus brasiliensis genome assembly, scaffold: NBR_scaffold0000127